UUUANCNGAGAAAUNNNAAANUGCGUGAACCGCUUANAGGUAAACGGGUGUAGUCAAGCUGCAAGCUGUGAGAAAUCUCCGGGUCAGUUGGCGUGAGCCUGAGCACACUCUUAACGAGGACGGUAGUGGGUCUAUCCUUCGGGAUGGGUCAGGCGCGUAAGUGUCUGAUUGGUGUAUGCCAGCUUGCUAUCGGUGUUCGGCUGACCCGGCCACUUUCUCAUGGCGUAAGUCACGACCGUCGUUGUCGUCGGUCCGCCUUUGUCUGAACCGUGUUGUGGGUAACCUUGUGUUGUCUGCGAUGCGGGGGCAGGUAGCUGGUCUAGCCUAGCUAGAUCAGUGUAAUCUUGCUGGGCAGAGUGGGUUCAAACCGUGCGAUGCGAUGUGGAUAGCGGUGACCGAUUGUUGGCUCGCCAAUGCUUGCUGGUAUAGCGUGGGUCUGGCUGCUUGUUGCUGUCUCUGAUGGCCUUGCGGNGCUCUGUAUUGCUAGUNGNCGCNUNNUG
rnacentral:rRNA from 1 species